rnacentral:sRNA from 1 species
UUAACAACCCUGGAGACUAAAGUCCUGUCUUUAUCCACAAUAUAGAUACAGCACAGGCAGUGGAAGUGUAAACUUCUCCUGGCAGCUUUACCAUUCUGCCUAACCCAGGUAGGGUGACAUUAAUUACAGUGAGUUAACUCCUAUGCCCCAUUCCAUCUUUGGCCUCC